UACGGAGGGAGCUAGCGUUGUUCGGAAAUACUGGGCGUAAAGCGCGCGUAGGCGGCCCCGUAAGUCCGCUGUGAAAGUCAAAGGCUCAACCUUUGAAAGCCGGUGGAUACUGUGGGGCUAGAGUCCGGAAGAGGCGAGUGGAAUUCCUGGUGUAGCGGUGGAAUGCGCAGAUAUCGGGAGGAACACCAAUGGCGAAGGCAGCUCGCUGGGACGGUACUGACGCUGAGGCGCGAAAGCUAGGGGAGCAAACGGG
rnacentral:rRNA from 1 species